UACGGGGGGGGCAAGCGUUGUUCGGAAUUACUGGGCGUAAAGGGCUCGUAGGCGGCCAACUAAGUCGGAUGUGAAAUCCCCAGGCUCAACUUGGGAACUGCAUCCGAUACUGGAUGGCUUGAAUUCGGGAGAGGGAUGCAGAAUUCCAGGUGUAGCGGUGAAAUGCGUAGAUAUCGUAAGGAAGGCCGGUGGCGAAAGCGAGCCUCUGGACAGUUACUGACGCUGAUGCACGAAGGCCAGGGGAGCAAACGGG
rnacentral:rRNA from 1 species